CACCCCAAAGCCUAAUUGCACUCCGCGCCCGGCAGGGCGAGUUUGCAGGCUUGCGCUGUUAAAUAAGAACUGCCCUCGACAUAAGCAAUAUUGAAAUAAUUGCAGCUCAUCCAUGGCCAGAUGUUGACUAACAAGACCCUCCUGUUCCACAAGUCAUAACUGCAGGUUUGAUUGGACAAGGGACCGAUUCAGUAACUUUCCCCUGAUAAAAGACCACCCACUAUGGACUGGUUCUGGCAGGUUUACAGAGACUGAGCACUAGUACAUUCAUGUCUCUGCUUCUCCUUUUGAUGUAUAGGGACUGUAAUGCAUUUAAAUGUUAAGUUUCCACUCCACAGUGAGCAUGGGAUGCAUGUCACAUGCAUGUUUAUUCAGCACCCCUCUUAGUGAAGAUUCACAGCUCUUCUUACAAUCUGUUGAAUAUGUCUGUUUAGCCAACUCAUUCAGCAUAAAGCUUCUGCUCCAACCCCACCUCCUUCAAAGUGCCUGUUGACUGUCUCUGUGGGAGCCUGGGCUUCCCAGCCUGCAGAAUGGCCAGCCUGCAGGUUGUAACUCAUUAUAAGAAACAAAGUCUCCUUUCUAAAUUUAUAGAUCUUAUGAUUUUUCAGUUGACAUGUUGUUGCCUAUCCAUUGUAGACUGAAUAAUAAUACAAGAAGGGUCAAGACUAUAAUGGAAAGCUUCUCAUGAUGAUCAUCAGUAUAAUUUAAUAACUCAAACACCAUAACUGAAAAUUUAAAAAACUCUAACUCUUUUAAUCUGUUUUUUAAACUUUCAAAAAUUAUUCAAGAUUUAAACGUGCAUUUUUGUAUCUUCCAUAGAAUUUAUGAAUUUAAAAUUACAUAUAAAUUCAAUGAAAAUAAAUAUUACUUCACUUCUCAGAGCUUCUCUCCUCAUUUCUAGAAUGAGGUUGAUAAGUGAUUUUGAAGGUUCCUUCUGCCUCAGACGUUGAAUAUUUCUGGCCCUAAAAGAAAAAUGGUAACACUAGAUUAGGACUGGCAGCAUUUGAUUGUAAAUCCUAGCCGAAGAGACCAAGUUUUGUUGAGAGUAGUGAGCAUUUCUAGCACCUGUUUCCACACUUCUAGUCAUUCUUCCGCUUUUCUCAUCCUCAGCCCUCUGAAACUGUGAGAUCACCAACACUUGGGGUCAAAGUCUAUUAACAUUUUUCAGUUCUCAUCCUGUUAUACUAGUCUGUAGUAUUUUACACUGUUGACCCCUCUCCUCUUUUUACAACCCCCUUGCCUAGGCUUCCACAUUCUUUUUGUUUUUCUUUCAUCUCUACAGCUACUCAUUGGUAUCUUUAUGGGCCCAGCAUGCUUCUGCUGCACCACUCUGCUGCCUAGCUACUGAUAGAUAUCUUUAGAACCAUUCUUAGGCCUUAUUACAUCUAGAGGGCAGUUUAGUAGGUCUAAGGUUGCUUCCACCUAGGGAAAGUGCAAAGCAUGUUAAGUGUUUUAUUCAUAUGACUUAAAUUGCUGUUACACAGUCCAAGUAAACCACAUCGAAAGGAGACUGAAACUACUUGGAUGAAUACAAUGGAAUCCUGUGGAAUGGCACCCCAAACCAAGAUGGUGGCAGAGAGCUGACAAUUGGAUUAUUUGCAUAUCCUUUGUGUGGUCAUCCUAGCAUCUCAGGAUCAGGAAAGAUGAAGAGGAGGGAGGGGAAAGGAAAAAUUUCCACUUAAAGUAGAGCUUGCCUAGGAGACAUCAACUGACUCUUGUAUUUUAACAGCACAGGCUGAAGCUGAUAAGGGUCUUUAAGCCUCAGUAACCUUAGACAGGCACCUUCCUCACUGGACCUAACUGAAGAGACUUUCCUGACUAGUGAACAAUGGGAUAUUUAUUUUAUUUAACCAAUGGUGUAGAGACCUAUAUAUUCAUUCUGCCCCAUAUCCAGAGUGCCAGUUUCCAAUGCUUAAUUAGCAUAAGCCCCAUAAGCUCCCCACUUCUAACAUUUAAAAACCCCUGACUUUCCCUCCUCAGUGAAAUUCUUCAUGGAGUAAGUUCUCUUGCUUGGCAAGUUAAUAGACUCAGCUUUGUAAUUUUUUUUUUCUAGCUCUAACGGUAUUUGUUUUACUCAUGGACAGGUGAGAAGGACAAGGGUAGAGGAGUCUUCAAACACCCCACAGCCAGCCAUCUUGGGUGAAUUACUGCAGUUUUCGAAAGGUGCCAGCAGGUUUCCUCCCGCAUAACAUUUGCAUUAUGUUGUACAUGCCACCGUCUUCAGAUGGCUAAUCCCUAUGAAAUUCAGUUAACAUGACAUUUUCUAGGAAACCUUUACAUCCUUUGCUGUGUUGGGUGCAACCUUGUCUGUCAUUCCGUUUUUGUACUCAUCACAUACUUAAUGGUAUCAACUGGUUCAGCAAUUGGACCCCUUCCUACUGUACUGAGAUUCUUGAGAGUCACUUUGAUAUGCACCCCAGACCCUCAGCAUACUGUCUAGAGCAGUAGUUUUCAAAACCUAAUGUGUAUCAGAAUCGUCUGGAGAAAUAGUUAAAACAGAAUCUCAAGCCCUACCUGCAGAGUCUCUGCUUCAGUAAGUCUGGGUGAGGCCCAAGGAUAUGUGCUUUUAACCAGUUCCCAAACAAUGUUGAUGCUAUUGGUCUGGAGAACAUACUUUGGGACUUCCUGGUCCAUAUCAUACUAGUCACUCAAAAAAUGUUCAUUAAAAGAUUUCAAGGAUUAUAAAUUACUUUUUAUUUUGAUUUGAAGCCAAAUUAAAGCAUUUUGUAAGUUAUCCAAAGUAAGGUAAAUACUCCAGGUCCUUGCUACUCAAAAUGGGGUCCUUGGGCUACUUGCACUGGCAUUACUAGGGACUCUGUUAGGAAUGGAGACUCUCUUGCCGCCUGGUGGACCUACUGACUCAGAAUCUCCAUUCUGAGAUUCUGAUCUCUCAAGAUCCUCAGCCUCACAUCAAAAUUUGAGAAGCACUGCUCAUGUGUGUGAGUGUGUGUGUGUGUGUGUGUAUGUUUAUGUGUGUUGUCAUUAUUAUUGCUUUGGAGUAGUUUUAACAGCAUCCAUAAAACUGGUUUUCACUAAUUAUUCCAUUCGUGGAUUUUCCAAGUCCUUUGUUCCCAAAUAAUAGUGGGUUUACUUUUCUUCUUGGUAAGUGCACAAAGAUUAAGCUUCAUAAAAGCUUUAACUUUAUAUUUGGUAUGUUGACUUAAUUUUAAUCAUUAUUUAGUGAUUCUUCUGUUAUGACACAAAAACACAGAAGGGUGAAAGGGUGAAAUGACUACUGAAGGAGUAAAUUAUUUCAGCAAAAAGAUAAAUAGCAGAGAAACAUGGGAAAUGAGUUAUACCUACAGAAUAGAAAUGCUUGAAUGUGGUAACAAUUCUACAGAAUUUAAUAUCUCUGUUAAGUUACAAAUUGCAAUUUCUUAGUAGCACCUGUAGACUUAAAGAUUAACUAGUAGUUUUAAUAAUAUAUUGACUUACAAGUUUUACUUUUAAAAGUAACAAAGAAAGCUAAAAAUGUUUUAAAAUAAAUAUAUUGCAAAUUGUGGUUCUAUUUUCCUUCUGACUUUUUCUUGUUUGUACUCUGCCUAAUUAGCAAUGUUUAGUAAAAUUAUAAUUAUUUCUAAUCAUAUGAAUAAUUAUAUAUUCUUGAAUUAAGAAUAUGUCUAAUAAGUAUUUGAGACUAUAUAUGAAUUUUAUAGUCUCUAAUGCCAGAUGUUCUAAAUGUGCAAGCAAAUGUUAUUCCUUUCUGAAUUAGAGUAAUUUAUUUUAAAUAAAGAAUGUUUAUAGCACAUAUGAAAUCUAGUCAUAGUUUUUAGUAGGUUAGCUUUAGGGAAAUUCUGUAAGAGAAGAAAUGCAUACAAAACCAGAAUUUAUUAUACUUAAUUUUUUUUUUUUUUGAGACAGGGUCUCACUCUGUCACCCAGGCUGGGGUGCAGUGGCGUGAUCUCUGCUCACUGCAGCCCUGACCUCCCUGGGCUCAGGUGAUCCUCCCACCUCCCACCUUAGCCUCACGAGCAGCUGGAACUACAAGUGUGUGCCACCGUGUCUGGCUAAUUUUUGUUGUUUUUUGUAGAGAUGGGGUUUCACCAUAUUGCCCAGGUUGGUCUUGAACUCCUGGGUUCAAACGAUCUGCCCACUUUGGCCUCCCAAAGUGCUAGGAUCACAGGCGUGAGCCACCGCUCCCAGCCUAUACUUCACUGUUUUAAAAAACUUUUUCAGGUUGACAGCACAGAAACAAAGCCUAAAAACAAAACAAAAGUAAUUACCUCUUUCCAACAGAAUCAUUAAUGUACAUUUGGGAAGAAUAAGCACGUGGAACAGAAAACGAAAGUAAAAGAAUAGUCACCCCUGAAGACAACCAUUCUAAUGAAAAGUAUACUAACAAUAACCCAAACUGCAAGUGAUUUUUAAGUAGGAAGCUGCAGGAACUACUCGUGUUUAGUGGAAAAGUAAACAAAUUGAAAGUAAAAAAAAUUAAAAGAAGAAUUUAUAAAGCGCUUUUACCCAAAGCUUCAGUUCCAUGACAUGGGAAUAAUUAUAUGAAAAAAAAAUGUUCCCGAGAUUUUAGAACAACUAUUUAUUGUGUUUAAAUGGUGGGUAGUUAUAGUGCAAUAACCCCAGGAUAGAACUGUCUUUGUUGUGGAGCAAGAUUAAUCAGACAGGUUUGUUCCAAUGACAUUAAUUAUUUGAGUUCUAUAUCUAAAUUGACUUGUUUUGAUUCUAUGAACCUUGUAUUAGUUUUUGAAGACUGCUGUAACAAAUACCACAGACUGGGUGGCUUUAACAACAGAAAUUUAUUUUGUUACAGUUCUGGAGGCUAGAAGUUGAAGACUAAGGUGUUGGCAGGAUUGGUUUCAUCUCGAGGCAUCUCUCCUUGGCAUGCCGUCUUCUCCCUUUUACUUCACGUGGUCUUCCCUCUGUGCAUGCCUGAUUCCUAAUCUCCUCUUCUUAUGAGGACACCAGUCAUACUGGAUUAGGGCCCAACUGUAUGACCUCACUUUACCUCUUUAAAGAUCCUAUCUCCAAAUACAUUCUGAGGUAGUGUGGGAGUUAGGAUUUCAAUGUAUCAAUUUUGAGGAAACACAGUUCAGCCCAUAACAGAUCCCAGUAUCUUUUGAAUUAUAACUUCAAUUCUUAUAAACAGCAGAUUCAAGAAUAAAGUAUGUUUAAUCAAGGCACAAAUGGUAUUCUCGCCUACAGGACACUGAUAUUUCACACAGUAGUGCUGAGUUACUAUUUUGAUUUAACAGUGUAUGACUGUACAUUUGAUCAAUGUGAAUCUGCCCCUGAGGGGUUUUUCUACUCUCAGGGGUCUCAACAAAUCUGGAUUUUGAGUCUGCAGGGUCCCGUGCCUGACUUUCUCAAAGUCAUCAUUUGUCUCUUGUUUCACUUCCCAUUAGAAGAAUCCACUACCAAAAGUACUGUACUAGUCUAGGUUCCCCAAGCCUGCCAUAAACAAACAACACCAACACUCACCUGCUGCCACUCUAUGGGGAGUACUAUCUCUGAGAAACAGAAGUGAGGAAAAACAUGGAAGUGAGGCAGUAGGAGAAGGGAACACAAACACAGGUGUUAGUGAGCUUGUCAUAGCUUUGCAACAAGUGCAGUUAAUUGCUCGGUCUUUGAGGAUAUUUUCAUGAAGGUCUUAUGAAUUAUUGCACUUUAGAACAGCCUAUCUGGGGGAAAGGAAGGGAGAAUUUAUCUACUAGCUUCAUUUUGUGCUGUACCUCCUUGAUCAAAGUUCACUCCUUAAGUAGGGUUGCCAGAUUUAGAAAAAUUUUAAAAAGCCCAUGCUUAUAAUAAAAAGUAAUUUAUUGUUUGUCUGCAAUUCAAAUUUAACUGAGAGUCCUGUAUUUUACCUGACAAUCCUCCUCUCAGGAUAUUAGCACCUAAGCAUUUCCAGGCAGCAGCUGGGGAAGCCAGAACCUCCACAGACAGAUCUGGUGCACAGGCACAAAGGUCAGUUACUCCUUGUCAGUGGCACAGUGUACAGGACUCCUCAACAUAUAGCAGUGUGGUGGUGGUGGUAGUGGCAGCAGCAGCAGAAACUCUUUAGGACAACAGGGUAGCGCUAGGCCACUGGCCAGGAGGCAAGGCAUGAGGAAGAGGCAAGAGGAUGUAGGCAUGGCUGCAUGGAUGCGGGAUGAUAAAAAACAUAAUUUUCUGUAAAAAUGGGUAAUUAUUUAUUAUAAUAUCUCUUUAGUAUCCAUCAUAGAUCACAUUAUACUAGAUACUGGGGAUUUAGUAGUAAAUAAGACAAAAUUUCUGCUACGGGGAGUUUACAGAAUAGCUUGAAUAUUGUGUGUGUUCUGAUUUAAAGAUGCUUAAUGAAUGCUAGUAAAAUGAAAUAAUGUAAUAAAAUAAAUGUAAAUGGAGGUUUUUCUAAAUGACUAUUUUAGUAAAAACAAACAAAACCCCUCCAUAACUAUCACAUGUAUUGCUUUCUGGAUGCUUCUGAAAAGAAAUAACUCAGAAAAGUAUUAGAAGGCCUCCAUCAAAUACUAGAAUUAUUAUUUAAUGAGAAAAAAAUCCACGUGUAUACAACAUUUCAAAACAGAAGUUAAAUCAUUAAAUAGUACUUUUUAUUUAAA